GUGGCAAAUCUAUAGCAAGAGAAUAUAAAUGGGAGAGAUGGAAAUACAAAUAUUAAGAAAUAAAAAUAGGACAAAAGACUAACUGAUGACAGAAAACGAUGGGUGGGAAAUGAGAUGGGCAAGUAAAGUCAGGAUAGAUUCUGAGACCGAUGAGGGAGGAGAAACUAAGAUGAGAGAUAGCGGAAAAACAAAGUGUAGGGCAUGCAGGAGGGCUAGAAUUAUAAAAGGGAAUAAAGGAAACGGGAAAAGGGAAGAAAUGACUGAAGAAUGGUAGAGGAAAAAGAUGGAGAGAUUGAAAGAAAAUGGUAGGGGGUUCUCGAAUUUCUGUUUUAAGGAACGUAUCAACACCGUUUGGUGUUUGUUGACUGACAAGCAUGCCUCUGGCUAACAUUAUACAAUGGCCGAUGAUAAAUGUCGUUGACGCCCUAACUUUUACGAUCA